UACAGAGGUCUCAAGCGUUGUUCGGAUUCAUUGGGCGUAAAGGGUGCGUAGGCGGCGCGGUAAGUCGGGUGUGAAAUCUUGGAGCUUAACUCCGAAACUGCAUUCGAUACUGCCGUGCUUGAGGACUGGAGAGGAGACUGGAAUUUACGGUGUAGCGGUGAAAUGCGUAGAUAUCGUAAGGAAGACCAGUGGCGGAAGGCGGGUCUCUGGACAGUUCCUGACGCUGAGGCACGAAGGCCGGGGAGCAAACGGG
rnacentral:rRNA from 1 species